UCUCACGGAUGAGCAAAGAAAGAGGUUUCCUGAGAUGGAAACUACUGAUGAAGAUGCUGUGAA
rnacentral:pre_miRNA from 1 species